rnacentral:lncRNA from 1 species
CCCUCCCUCCUCUCACGCUCACUCCUCUGCCCCUCCCUCCUCUCUCCUGUCCCCUCCUCUCCCCUCCCUUCUCUUCCCCUUCCCUCCUUUCCCCCUCCCUCCUCUCCCCCUUCCCUCAUCUUCCCCUCCCUCUUCUCCCCUGUCCUCAUCCUCCUCUACUGCUCCCUCCUCUCCCCUUUGCCCUCUCCCUCCUCUCUCCUGUCCCCUCCUCUCCCCCUCCCUCCUCUCUCCUGAAGUUACCCAGGUGUCUCUGGCACUUGUCCACCCCCAGCCCCAAUCCAGGCCAUUCCUGCAAGAGAUCCUUCUCCCAUGGGGCUCCCGUCCUGAGCCCAGUCGGCUUCCAGAAUCCUAGGAAGCACAGAGCCAGGAAACCGCUGCCCUGGGGGGCCUACCGGAGAGCUGGACUGCAGGGUUUGACUGGGAAGGGCCCUGCAGCCCCGCCUGUGUGUGGGGGGAGGACUCCCCCAGGUGAUCUCUGGGGCCUCACUGACCACGGGCCUCCCCAGUCACCAACAGGGCGGCAGAAGGCAGAAAACAGGCCGGGGGGAGGCGGCCGUUGCCACAAGAGCCCGUGGCUGCAGGGAAGACGCCUGGGCUGCAGGCGGGGCUCCUGGCAAGUGUGGGGGACGCGGCCUCCCACCGGUCGGGUCGGAGGGAGGAGGCCUCUGGGGAGAGUGGGCGACAUCGGCGAUCCAGGAAUGGGUCUGCGACAGACUGACUCCCAGAUGGGAAAACACGCGUUUCUGGAGCAUCGCCUGUAACUGGAAAGACCCGGCCACACAGGCAAGGCUCAAUUCCAGGGGCUGUUCCGUCAAUCACGGGCCCUGGGACGGUGGCCCCGGACUGCGGGGAAGAGAGCUCUGCGCGCCCUCGUUUGUUCCGGGAGCGCCUCUGGGAGCCGCAGGGUCCGGAUACCGGAGGGAGGGCGCGACCCCGUGGCGGGAGACGCAGGGUCCGGAUACCGGAGGGAGGGCGCGACCCCGUGGCGGGAGCCGCAGGGUCUUGGGCUUGCGUCCCGCCCUCUCUGCGUUUCCUUUAGCGACUCCUCUGAGACGGGCUGAGGCGGAAACACCCGCACUGAGUGUGAAACUCAGGAGCUCGCUGAGGCCCCCUGGUGCUUCCUGGGCCACGUGCACUGGCCUAAUUUCAUUUUGUUCCAUUGCCUGUACGCUGAGAAUUUCAUUUUCUGGUGAGAAUCCGUCAUAGAAGCUCUGGUUCUGGGAACUGUCAUUUCAAAGAGACGCAAAAAAAAAAAAAAAAAAAAAAAAAAAAAAAAAAAAAAGUCUCGAUGACGCUGUGAUCUCGCUGGGUUGAGAGGCCAC